rnacentral:rRNA from 1 species
GUGGGGAAUCUUAGACAAUGGGCGCAAGCCUGAUCUAGCCAUGCCGCGUGAGCGAUGAAGGCCUUAGGGUUGUAAAGCUCUUUCAGCUGGGAAGAUAAUGACGGUACCAGCAGAAGAAGCCCCGGCUAACUCCGUGCCAGCAGCCGCGGUAAUACGGAGGGGGCUAGCGUUGUUCGGAAUUACUGGGCGUAAAGCGCACGUAGGCGGAUCAGAAAGUCAGAGGUGAAAUCCCAGGGCUCAACCUUGGAACUGCCUUUGAAACUCCUGAUCUUGAGGUCGAGAGAGGUGAGUGGAAUUCCGAGUGUAGAGGUGAAAUUCGUAGAUAUUCGGAGGAACACCAGUGGCGAAGGCGGCUCACUGGCUCGAUACUGACGCUGAGGUGCGAAAGCGUGGGGAGCAAACAGGAUUAGAAACCCUUGUAGUCC